UACGUAGGGCGCAAGCGUUAUCCGGAAUUAUUGGGCGUAAAGAGCUCGUAGGCGGUUUGUCGCGUCUGCCGUGAAAGUCCGGGGCUCAACUCCGGAUCUGCGGUGGGUACGGGCAGACUAGAGUGAUGUAGGGGAGACUGGAAUUCCUGGUGUAGCGGUGAAAUGCGCAGAUUUCAGGAGGAACACCGAUGGCGAAGGCAGGUCUCUGGGCAUUAACUGACGCUGAGGAGCGAAAGCAUGGGGAGCGAACAGG
rnacentral:rRNA from 1 species